AUUGAACGCUGGCGGCAGGCCUAACACAUGCAAGUCGAGCGGAUGAAGGGAGAUUGCUCUUGGAUUCAGCGGCGGACGGGUGAGUAAUGAAUAGGAAUCUGCCCGGCAGUGGGGGAUAACGUCCGGAAACGGGAGCUAAUAUCGCAUACGUCCAGAGGGAGAAACUGGGGGAUCAUCGGUCCUAACGCUAUCAGAUGAGACUAGGUCGGAUUAGCUAGUUGGUGGGGUAAAGGCCUACCAAGGCGACGAUCCGAAACUGGUCUGAGAGGAUGAUCAGUCACACUGGAACUGAGACACGGUCCAGACUCCUACGGGAGGCAGCAGUGGGGAAUAUUGGGCAAUGGGCGAAAGCCUGAUCCAGCCAUGCCGCGUGUGUGAAGAAGGUCUUCGGAUUGUAAAGCACUUUUAGUUGGGAGGAAGAGCAGUAAGUUAAUACCUUGCUGUUUUGACGGUACCUACAGAAUAAGCACCGGCUAACUUCGUG
rnacentral:rRNA from 1 species